rnacentral:tRNA from 1 species
GCAGUUGGUGGUUCCGUGGUAGAAUUCUCACCUUCCAUGCAGGAGACCUGGGUUCUAAUCCCAGCCAAUGCA